AGAGCGCAGGGUGGAUGCCUUGGCACUAAGAGCCGAUGAAAGACGUGAUAAGCUGCGAUAAGCUUCGGGGAGGAGCAAAUAUCCUUUGAUCCGGAGAUUUCUGAAUGGGGAAACCCGACAGAGCAAACCUCUGUCAUCCAUACGCCAAUCCAUAACGUAUGGAAGGGAACCCGGGGAACUGAAACAUCUAAGUACCCGGAGGAAAAGAAAGAAAACUCGAUUUCCUGAGUAGCGGCGAGCGAAAGGGAAAGAGCCUAAACCGUCAUGCGUGCAUGACGGGGUUAAGGACCGCAGAAUGUGACCAGACGAAUAACAGAAUGGUUUUGGGAAAGCCAACCAAAGAGGGUGAAAGUCCCGUAUGUGAAAUUCCGAAGGAGCAAGCGAGAUCCAGAGUACCACGAGACACGUGGAACCUUGUGGGAAGUAAGGGGGACCACCCCCUAAGGCUAAAUACUACUUAGUGACCGAUAGCGCAUAGUACUGUGAAGGAACGGUGAAAAGAACCCCGGGAGGGGAGUGAAAGAGAACCUGAAACCCUGUGUUUACAAGCUGUGGAACCUCGUUAAAGAGGAACCGCGUACUUUUUGUAGAACGGUCCGGCGAGUUACGCUGGCUGGCAAGGUUAAGCACUACAGGUGUGGAGCCGGAGGGAAACCAAGUCUGAAUAGGGCGAAAGUCAGUCAGAGUAGACCCGAAACCGGGUGAUCUAUCCAUGUCCAGGUUGAAGUUGCCGUAAAAGGCAAUGGAGGACCGAACGCACAUCCGUUGAAAAGGGUGGCGAUGAGGUGUGGAUAGGGGAGAAAUUCCAAUCGAACCCGGAGAUAGCUGGUUCUCCUCGAAAUAGCUUUAGGGCUAGCCUUGAUGUAAGUCUAACGGAGGUAGAGCACUGAAUUUCCUAGGGGGCGUCAAAGCCUACCGAAGAAUAUCAAACUCCGAAUGCCGUAUAGAUAUCGUCAGGAGUCAGACUACACGAGAUAAGUUGGGUAGUCAAAAGGGAAAGAGCCCAGACCUCCAGCUAAGGUCCCAAAGUGCGUGUUAAGUGGAAAAGGAUGUGGGAUUUCAAAGACAACUAGGAUGUUGGCUUAGAAGCAGCCAUACAUUCAAAGAGUGCGUAAUAGCUCACUAGUCGAGAGGUCCUGCGCCGAAAAUGUCCGGGGCUAAAACACGACACCGAAGCUGAGGAAUCCAAACGGAUUGGUAGAGGAGCAUUGAAAACGCGAAGAAGCAGUACCGGAAGGAGCUGUGGAGUGUUUUGAAGAGAGAAUGCCGGAAUGAGUAGCGAGAGGAAGGUGAGAAUCCUUCCGACCGAAUAUCUAAGGUUUCCAGAGUAAAGCUGAUCUGCUCUGGGUAAGUCGGGACCUAAGGCGAGGACGAAAGUCGUAGCCGAUGGACAACAGGUUGAAAUUCCUGUACUACGUUUUAUCAGAACUGUGGGGACACAGAGGGAAAGCACAGGCGCAGAAUGGAAAGCUGCGUACAAGCGAGGUACCCGUGCGAUAGGCAAAUCCGUCGCACAAGGGGAAUACGUGAUGUGGAUCGAAAUAAAGUAGAGAAGUGUGUGAGCCAGCUGUCAAGAAAAGCCGCUAUUGUGUAAAACGUACCCGUACCGUAAACCGACACAGGUGGAUGAGGAGAGAAUCCUAAGGUCGACGGAAGAAGCAUUGUUAAGGAACUCGGCAAAAUGACCCCGUAACUUCGGGAGAAGGGGUGCCACAGAGAUGUGGUCGCAGAGAAUAGGCUCAAGCAACUGUUUAGCAAAAACACAGGUCUAUGCAAAACCGAAAGGUGAAGUAUAUGGGCUGACGCCUGCCCGGUGCUGGAAGGUUAAGGGGAGAUGUUAGAGCAAUCGAAGCAUUGAACUUAAGCCCCAGUAAACGGCGGCCGUAACUAUAACGGUCCUAAGGUAGCGAAAUUCCUUGUCGGGUAAGUUCCGACCCGCACGAAAGGCGAAAUGAUUUGAGCGCUGUCUCGACAAUGCAUCCGGUGAAAUUGAAGUACCAGUGAAGAUGCUGGUUACCUGCGCCAGGACGGAAAGACCCCAUGGAGCUUUACUCCAGCUUGAUACUGGGAUUCGGUAUUGCAUGUACAGGAUAGGUGGGAGACGAAGAAAAGGAAACGCCAGUUUUCUUGGAGUCACUGUUGGGAUACCACCCUUGCAGUAUUGGAUUUCUAACUUGCCGCCGUGAACCGGCGGGAGGACAAUGUCAGGUGGGGAGUUUGACUGGGGCGGUCGCCUCCGAAAGGGUAUCGGAGGCGCUCAAAGGUUCCCUCAGAAUGGUUGGAAACCAUUCGAAGAGUGCAAAGGCAGAAGGGAGCUUGACUGCGACACCGACGGGUGGAGCAGGUACGAAAGUAGGACUUAGUGAUCCGGUGGUAUAAAGUGGGAUUGCCAUCGCUCAACGGAUAAAAGCUACCCUGGGGAUAACAGGCUUAUCACUCCCAAGAGUUCACAUCGACGGAGUGGUUUGGCACCUCGAUGUCGGCUCAUCGCAUCC
rnacentral:rRNA from 1 species